GACGAACGCUGGCGGCGUGGAUUAGGCAUGCAAGUCGGACGGUAGGGCUUUAUCGUAAGAUAGAGUUUGAGAGUGGCGAACGGGUGAGUAACACGUAGGAAUCUACCCUUAAGACGGGGACAACCCAGGGAAACUUGGGCUAAUACCGGAUGAGAGUGCGAGAGAUUGCAUUUAAAAGGAUGGCGAAAGUUGUCGCUUAGGGAUGAGCCUGCGGUCUAUUAGUUAGUUGGUGAGGUAAGAGCUCACCAAGGCGAUGAUAGAUAGGCGGCCUUAACGGGUGGUCGCCCACACUGGGAUUGAGAUACGGCCCAGACUCCUACGGGAGGCAGCAGUGGGGAAUAUUGGACAAUGGGGGAAACCCUGAUCCAGCAAUGCCGCGUGAAUGAAGAAGGCCUUAGGGUUGUAAAGUUCUUUCACCUGUGAAGAUAAUGACGGUAGCAGGAGAAGAAGCCCCGGCUAACUCCGUG
rnacentral:rRNA from 1 species